UACGGAGGGUGCAAGCGUUGCUCGGAAUUAUUGGGCGUAAAGGGUAGGUAGGUGGUCUCAUUUGUCUGAGGUGAAAGCCUUGAGCUUAACUCAAGAAGUGCCUUAGAAACGGUGAGACUGGAGUCCUGGAGAGGGUCGUGGAAUUCCCGGUGUAGCGGUGAAAUGCGUAGAGAUCGGGAGGAACACCAGAGGCGAAGGCGGCGACCUGGACAGGCACUGACACUCAACUACGAAAGCGUGGGGAGCAAACAGG
rnacentral:rRNA from 1 species